AAUACUGGCUGUUUGCUCGGUAAUUUGUGCGUCACAGGAAAGGAUAAUCGGGAAGUCAGCGAGAAUCUGACACUGCCCCCGCAACGGUAAAAGGUAAGAGUCCAGUGUGCUUCUCUAACAGGAAUAUGUUAGAAAAUCCUGCACUCGAUCAGUGUAGCUCUAGUGAGCCACGGCUGAGCCUAAGUCCGGAGACCGGCCCAAUAGAUGAUUUUGAG
rfam:Shewanella violacea DSS12 DNA, complete genome.